rnacentral:rRNA from 1 species
AACGAACGCUGGCGGCAUGCCUAACACAUGCAAGUCGAACGAGACCUUCGGGUCUAGUGGCGCACGGGUUCUUAACGCGUGGGAACCUGCCCUUAGGUUCGGAAUAACUCCCCGAAAGGGGUGCUAAUACCGGAUAAUGUCUUCGGACCAAAGAUUUAUCGCCUUUGGAUGGGCCCGCGUUGGAUUAGCUAGUUGGUAGGGUAAAAGCCUACCAAGGCGACGAUCCAUAGCUGGUCUGAGAGGAUGAUCAGCCACACUGGGACUGAGACACGGCCCAGACUCCUACGGGAGGCAGCAGUGGGGAAUAUUGGACAAUGGGCGAAAGCCUGAUCCAGCAAUGCCGCGUGAGUGAUGAAGGCCUUAGGGUUGUAAAGCUCUUUUACCCGGGAUGAUAAUGACAGUACCGGGAGAAUAAGCUCCGGCUAACUCCGUG